CCUACGGGAGGCAGCAGUAGGGAAUAUUUGGCAAUGGGCGCAAGCCUGACCCAGCAACGCCGCGUGAAGGAAGAAGGCUUUCGGGUUGUAAACUUCUUUUAUCAGGGACGAAGCAAGUGACGGUACCUGAUGAAUAAGCAACGGCUAACUACGUUCCGGCAGCCGCGGUAAUACGUAGGUGGCAAGCGUUAUCCGGAUUUACUGGGUGUAAAGGGCGUGUAGGCGGGGGUGAAAGUCAGAUGUGAAAACUAGGGGCUCAACCCAUAGCCUGCAGUUGAAACUGUCCUUCUUGAGUGCUGGAGAGGCAAUCGGAAUUCUGGGUGUAGCGGUGAAAUGCGUAGAUAUACGGAGGAACACUAGUGGCGAAGGCGGAUUGCUGGACAGUAACUGACGCUGAGGCGCGAAAGCGUGGGGAGCAAACAGGAUUAGAUACCCGAGUAGUC
rnacentral:rRNA from 1 species